rnacentral:rRNA from 1 species
UACGUGGGGUGCGAGCGUUGUUCGGAAUUACUGGGCGUAAAGCGUGCGCAGGCGGUCUGUUAAGACCGAUGUGAAAUCCCCGGGCUUAACCUGGGAACUGCAUUGGUGACUGGCAGGCUUUGAGUGUGGCAGAGGGAGGUAGAAUUCCACGUGUAGCAGUGAAAUGCGUAGAGAUGUGGAGGAAUACCGAUGGCGAAGGCAGCCUCCUGGGCCAACACUGACGCUCAUGCACGAAAGCGUGGGGAGCAAACAGG